AUGUCUCCGCCCACGCUCCUGCGACGCACCGCGCCGGUGCCCGCAGCCACCGCCGCCGCCGCUGCUGGGCCGUUCUGCUUCCAGCCGUGCCACUCCCCUGCAUCACCGCGGUGCCCCCCUGGUUUCUCCAGCCCAAGGUUUGCUCGCGAGGACCUCGUACUCUUGCUUUUCCCGCAGCUGGCUGGAUCCACGCCAGAUCCAGUGCUGCCGCCGGGGUGCUCUACCUCUCCAAGCUCGCCCUUUGUCCCGGAUCCCCGGCUCCUGCUUCCGUUGCGCCGGGUCCAGCCCGGAAGGUCUGCUUUGCUGCUGCUGAAGACCUGCUCAAUCCAGCUCCUGCUAAGCUCAUCCAUGGCGCUCCCAGGUCAUGCCUGA
rnacentral:rRNA from 1 species